rnacentral:misc_RNA from 1 species
UAUGCAAUGGGGAGAGCUGCAAAAUCUCUUUCAAAGUUAGCAGAUACAGCUCGGGAGGAACUCCCUAGUACAAUGGCCGCAAUUAGGCUUUCAGGCAUGGAAAUCAGUGAUCUUACAUUGGAAUUAAGUGAUUUGAGCCAUGAGAUAGCUGAUGGGGUCAACAAAUCAGCUCAAGCUGUGCAAGCAGCAGAAUCUGGGAUUCGACAAAUUGGUACACUUGCUCAUCAGCAGACUAUCUCAAUGAUUCAAGAGAGAGCCAGCCUUCCUAUCAUCUCACUGCAGCCUGUAGUUGCUGGGGCUGCAAAGAAGACUUCCCGUGCUGUUGGCCAAGCCACCAAGACCUUCAUGAAUAUCAUCUCACGAGGGGAGUUUACCUCAGAAAAUGAGGAUAAUAAUGAAAUUGAAAGGUUGGACAUUUAAGAGUCACUUCUGAUUUAAAUGAUUACUUGUGUACAUAAGUAAUCAUUUGCUGCUACUGCUACUGCUAUACGGAUAUUGUAAAUGCUUUUGGUAAUCUACAAAUUUUUGUCCCAG